rnacentral:lncRNA from 1 species
UAUUCAUAAAAUUUUAUAUAUUUUGGAGGGCAUAUAAGCAAAAAACUCUAUUAUAUAUAUAUGUCUAAACUAUCUAAGUUGUUCUUUUCUUAAUUUAUCCUUAAUUGAUGCUUCCUCCACCUUUGUUAUGGAUAGCUUCAUUUUUUAGAUUCGUUCUUAUAACAUUCUCAUUUUGGUCGUAUUUAUGCAUGUGUUAUUUUCUAAUUGUCUAAUAUUCAUAAGCGGUUGUAUAGUUUUUCUAUAAAAUUUUUUCUUCAACCUGACGAUCAUGUAAUAUCCUAGUUAUAUUUGUCUAUUUUUUUUAAUUUGUUUUAAGGUUUUGGAUAAAGGAACAAGAAGGAGAAGAGCAACGGAGGGUAUCUAACAAGAUACCUGACCACGACAACCAUCGGGAUGAGUCAUGAUAGUAGUGGGGAGUCCAGUGGAGAAAAGAAGAUAUCCCCAUCCCAUAGAAUUUAAAAUCUUUGUGUAAACAUUCAUGUUUUACACUCAAUCGAGUCAGAUAUAAAAUCAGCUAUUUUAUUAAUUGAUCAUACGAGGCUGUCUACGAGCUUCUCAUAGCUUGCUCAUUUCAUAGCCCUACCACGUAUGGCUAGGAAACUAGGUAAAAGAAUGAUCAAAGAGAUGACUUGAAUCCUUCAACUCAAACAACCAACCAAUAUUUGGCAGCUGCUUCCGAGAUAGACUUAGCUAGGAGCCACGGAUAAGUGAACAAAAAACUAGUCCAAAAAUUAAUGUUAAAAAGUGGAUAUGAAAGCACCAACUGUAGCAAAGAAUUAUAGGCAUGGUACUGGCUUUUGUCCAAGGUCUCACAAGAUCCAUAGCUGCUAUCCAUAUGACAAUCUCACAUGCAAUUUCCUUUAGAACACUGAGCCCUCAAGCAAAAGAAAAGAUUAAGAAAAAAAAAAACCAAGCCAAACGUACCCAACUACACUAGGUCACAAAACCAAAGCCACAACACAUGGACGUACCUCCACCAGAAGAAACAAUAGAAACAGUGGUAAGAAGAUCCUAGCCUUGGCCAUGGGAAAUGGAGGGAGAGAUGAAGAAGCUACAGAGAGAGAGGCAGAAGAGCAGAGCAAGGAGGAGAGCAUAGGGUAUGUGUCCUUCUUAUAGGCCUGGGUUUGCAGAGGCACAAACUUUACGUGGGCGUCAUUUCGGGGUGGUCUCAUCUGUGCUCCACUUGCCA